UACAGAGGGUGCAAGCGUUAAUCGGAAUUACUGGGCGUAAAGCGUGCGUAGGCGGCUAAGUCAGUCGGAUGUGAAAGCCCCAGGCUUAACCUGGGAACUGCAUUCGAUACUACUUGGCUAGAGUAUAGGAGAGGGUAACGGAAUUCCAUGUGUAGCGGUGAAAUGCGUAGAUAUAUGGAGGAACAUCAGUGGCGAAGGCGGUUGCCUGGCCUGAUACUGACGCUGAGGUACGAAAGCGUGGGGAGCAAACAGG
rnacentral:rRNA from 1 species